GACGACGCUGGCGGCGUGGAUUAGGCAUGCAAGUCGAACGGUAGGAUACCUUCGGGGUAUCUGAGAGUGGCGAACGGGUGAGUAACACGUAGGUGAUCUACCCUCAAGAUUGGGACAACCCAGGGAAACUUGGGCUAAUACCGGAUGAAAGCAGCAGUGAUGUUGUUUGAAAGGUGGCGUAAGCUGCCGUUUGGGGAUGAGCCUGCGCUCUAUUAGUUAGUUGGCGGGGUAAAGGCCCACCAAGGCGAUGAUAGAUAGGCGGCCUUAACGGGUGGUCGCCCACACUGGGAUUGAGAUACGGCCCAGACUCCUACGGGAGGCAGCAGUCGAGAAUAGUCUACAAUGGCCGAAAGGCUGAUAGUGCGACGCCGCGUGAACGAAGAAGCCCUUCGGGGUGUAAAGUUCUUUUAUAUGUGAGCAGUGCUUUCUAUGUGAACAGCAUGGGGAGAGAGAUAUUAGCAUAUGAAUAAGCAACGGCUAACUCCGUG
rnacentral:rRNA from 1 species